rnacentral:rRNA from 1 species
AUUUUCGGCAAUGGGCGAAAGCCUGACCGAGCAACGCCGCGUGAACGAAGAAGGUCUUCGGAUCGUAAAGCUCUGUCCUCAAGGAAGAUAAUGACGGUACUUGAGGAGGAAGCCCCGGCUAACUACGUGCCAGCAGCCGCGGUAAUACGUAGGGGGCUAGCGUUAUCCGGAAUUACUGGGCGUAAAGGGUGCGUAGGUGGUUUCUUAAGUCAGAGGUGAAAGGCUACGGCUCAACCGUAGUAAGCCUUUGAAACUGGGAAACUUGAGUGCAGGAGAGGAGAGUGGAAUUCCUAGUGUAGCGGUGAAAUGCGUAGAUAUUAGGAGGAACACCAGUUGCGAAGGCGGCUCUCUGGACUGUAACUGACACUGAGGCACGAAAGCGUGGGGAGCAAACA